rnacentral:rRNA from 1 species
AGCAGCCGCGGUAAUUCCAGCUCCAGUAGCGUAUAUUAAAGUUGUUGCAGUUAAAAAGCUCGUAGUUGAAUUUCGGGAUUGGCGCAUCGGUCGUGCCUUACGGGGUAUGAACUGGUGCAGUCAAUUUCUCACCUUCUGGAGAACCGCGAUGUCCUUAAUUGGGUGCCGCGGGGAACCAGGACCUUUACUUUGAAAAAAUUAGAGUGUUUAAAGCAGGCAUUUUUGCUUGAAUACAUUAGCAUGGAAUAAUAAAAUAGGACGGCAUGGUUCUAUUUUGUUGGUUUCUAGGACCACCGUAAUGAUUAAUAGGGAUAGUUGGGGGCAUUAGUAUUCAAUUGUCAGAGGUGAAAUUCUUGGAUUUAUUGAAGACUAACUACUGCGAAAGCAUUUGCCAAGGAUGUUUUCAUUAAUCAAGAACGAAAGUUAGGGGAUCGAAGACGAUCAGAUACC